rnacentral:rRNA from 1 species
AGAUUAAGUUAUUAAGGGCGCACGGUGGAUGCCUUGGCACUAGAAGCCGAUGAAGGACGUUACUAACGACGAUAUGCUUUGGGGAGCUGUAAGUAAGCUUUGAUCCAGAGAUUUCCGAAUGGGGAAACCCAGCAUGAGUUAUGUCAUGUUAUCGAUAUGUGAAUACAUAGCAUAUCAGAAGGCACACCCGGAGAACUGAAACAUCUUAGUACCCGGAGGAAGAGAAAGAAAAUUCGAUUCCCUUAGUAGCGGCGAGCGAAACGGGAAGAGCCCAAACCAACAAGCUUGCUUGUUGGGGUUGUAGGACACUCUAUACGGAGUUACAAAGGACGACAUUAGACGAAUCAUCUGGAAAGAUGAAUCAAAGAAGGUAAUAAUCCUGUAGUCGAAAAUGUUGUCUCUCUUGAGUGGAUCCUGAGUACGACGGAGCACGUGAAAUUCCGUCGGAAUCUGGGAGGACCAUCUCCUAAGGCUAAAUACUCUCUAGUGACCGAUAGUGAACCAGUACCGUGAGGGAAAGGUGAAAAGCACCCCGGAAGGGGAGUGAAAUAGAACCUGAAACCGUGUGCUUACAAGUAGUCAGAGCCCGUUAAUGGGUGAUGGCGUGCCUUUUGUAGAAUGAACCGGCGAGUUACGAUUUGAUGCAAGGUUAAGCAGUAAAUGUGGAGCCGUAGCGAAAGCGAGUCUGAAUAGGGCGUUUAGUAUUUGGUCGUAGACCCGAAACCAGGUGAUCUACCCUUGGUCAGGUUGAAGUUCAGGUAACACUGAAUGGAGGACCGAACCGACUUACGUUGAAAAGUGAGCGGAUGAACUGAGGGUAGCGGAGAAAUUCCAAUCGAACCUGGAGAUAGCUGGUUCUCUCCGAAAUAGCUUUAGGGCUAGCCUCAAGUGAUGAUUAUUGGAGGUAGAGCACUGUUUGGACGAGGGGCCCCUCUCGGGUUACCGAAUUCAGACAAACUCCGAAUGCCAAUUAAUUUAACUUGAGAGUCAGAACAUGGGUGAUAAGGUCCGUGUUCGAAAGGGAAACAGCCCAGACCACCAGCUAAGGUCCCAAAAUAUAUGUUAAGUGGAAAAGGAUGUGGCGUUGCCCAGACAACUAGGAUGUUGGCUUAGAAGCAGCCAUCAUUUAAAGAGUGCGUAAUAGCUCACUAGUCGAGUGACACUGCGCCGAAAAUGUACCGGGGCUAAACAUAUUACCGAAGCUGUGGAUUGUCCUUUGGACAAUGGUAGGAGAGCGUUCUAAGGGCGUUGAAGCAUGAUCGUAAGGACAUGUGGAGCGCUUAGAAGUGAGAAUGCCGGUGUGAGUAGCGAAAGACGGGUGAGAAUCCCGUCCACCGAUUGACUAAGGUUUCCAGAGGAAGGCUCGUCCGCUCUGGGUUAGUCGGGUCCUAAGCUGAGGCCGACAGGCGUAGGCGAUGGAUAACAGGUUGAUAUUCCUGUACCACCUAUAAUCGUUUUAAUCGAUGGGGGGGACGCAGUAGGAUAGGCGAAGCGUGCGAUUGGAUUGCACGUCUAAGCAGUAAGGCUGAGUAUUAGGCAAAUCCGGUACUCAUUAAGGCUGAGCUGUGAUGGGGAGAAGACAUUGUGUCUUCGAGUCGUUGAUUUCACACUGCCGAGAAAAGCCUCUAGAUAGAAAAUAGGUGCCCGUACCGCAAACCGACACAGGUAGUCAAGAUGAGAAUUCUAAGGUGAGCGAGCGAACUCUCGUUAAGGAACUCGGCAAAAUGACCCCGUAACUUCGGGAGAAGGGGUGCUCUUUAGGGUUAACGCCCAGAAGAGCCGCAGUGAAUAGGCCCAAGCGACUGUUUAUCAAAAACACAGGUCUCUGCUAAACCGUAAGGUGAUGUAUAGGGGCUGACGCCUGCCCGGUGCUGGAAGGUUAAGAGGAGUGGUUAGCUUCUGCGAAGCUACGAAUCGAAGCCCCAGUAAACGGCGGCCGUAACUAUAACGGUCCUAAGGUAGCGAAAUUCCUUGUCGGGUAAGUUCCGACCCGCACGAAAGGCGUAACGAUUUGGGCACUGUCUCAACGAGAGACUCGGUGAAAUCAUAGUACCUGUGAAGAUGCAGGUUACCCGCGACAGGACGGAAAGACCCCGUGGAGCUUUACUGUAGCCUGAUAUUGAAAUUCGGCACAGCUUGUACAGGAUAGGUAGGAGCCUUUGAAACGUGAGCGCUAGCUUACGUGGAGGCGCUGGUGGGAUACUACCCUAGCUGUGUUGGCUUUCUAACCCGCACCACUUAUCGUGGUGGGAGACAGUGUCAGGCGGGCAGUUUGACUGGGGCGGUCGCCUCCUAAAAGGUAACGGAGGCGCUCAAAGGUUCCCUCAGAAUGGUUGGAAAUCAUUCAUAGAGUGUAAAGGCAUAAGGGAGCUUGACUGCGAGACCUACAAGUCGAGCAGGGUCGAAAGACGGACUUAGUGAUCCGGUGGUUCCGCAUGGAAGGGCCAUCGCUCAACGGAUAAAAGCUACCCCGGGGAUAACAGGCUUAUCUCCCCCAAGAGUUCACAUCGACGGGGAGGUUUGGCACCUCGAUGUCGGCUCAUCGCAUCCUGGGGCUGUAGUCGGUCCCAAGGGUUGGGCUGUUCGCCCAUUAAAGCGGUACGCGAGCUGGGUUCAGAACGUCGUGAGACAGUUCGGUCCCUAUCCGUCGUGGGCGUAGGAAAUUUGAGAGGAGCUGUCCUUAGUACGAGAGGACCGGGAUGGACAUACCUCUGGUGUACCAGUUGUCGUGCCAACGGCAUAGCUGGGUAGCUAUGUGUGGACGGGAUAAGUGCUGAAAGCAUCUAAGCAUGAAGCCCCCCUCAAGAUGAGAUUUCCCAACUUCGGUUAUAAGAUCCCUCAAAGAUGAUGAGGUUAAUAGGUUCGAGGUGGAAGCAUGGUGACAUGUGGAGCUGACGAAUACUAAUCGAUCGAAGACUUAAUCAAAUU